UUUUCAUAAUUUCAGUGAGCAUCUCAACAUCUUUUGUGACAAAGGAGAACGUGGAUGUCACUGGCUUUCACUUCACGUUAUAGGCCAGUGCUGCUUUUGGGGUGAAAGAAGACCAUCAGCAAACCUCAGCCUUGCCGCCAGGACUCCACCGUCUUCUGUCCGAGUCUGCGGGUCCGCAGAUUGCGGCAGGGAGGCCCGGGCACCCGCAGGUGGCGCCCCACGUCCGUGUUUGCGCCCUCGCCCGCGCUCCAGGCGCAGCUAGGAAACCCAGCGCGUCUCCCCGGGUCUUUGGAGCCAGCGCGGAGACCGCAAUUUAAUAAAUAAGCGCGAGUGCCAGCCGCUCCACCAGCCCGAGGUCCAGAGGAGCAGACACAUAGACCCGGGCCGGAGGCCCCUCUUGUAGCCCUGCGGGAACCGGACAGUUCCCCAACUGGGGACUCUGGAACCACAGCUCCUAAAUCAUCAAAUUCUCAAGCUUUUUUUCCUCUCUUCGUCCCAGCCAUCCCAGUCAUCGUCGUCGUCUUUUUUUUUUUUUUAAACUUAUUGUUUUUUUCGCCCCUUUCAUUAUGAAAGUGGUCACGCCAUUCAAGAUUAAGACUUGGAGGGAAUUGGGGAAAGAAAAGAAAGAAUCUAGAAGAAGAGAAGCGACCGGUGCUUUUAAGGGUGCCUAAUUUUCAAACGAGACGUCUGGGAGGAUUUUGCUCUGGGCGUUUGGCAGAGCAACUUCGCUGACAGCGGAGCUCACCCAGCAUGGAUGUUCCAGGUCCACGGGCGCCUUUCUUCUGAGAACGACCCUGGCCUUGACCGUCAGAGCGGGGGACAAAGGCCCGCGGAGGCUGCUGCGGGCCCCGCGCGUUCCUGCGCGCCCUUCCGCGCCGCUCGCGCCCCCGCCGGCCUCCGCCCCCGCGCGCCGCCUCCCACCAGCCCCGAUGCAGGCGCCCGGCCAGGGGCCCCUCGGGCUGCGGCUGACGAUGCCCUGGCGCCGGGGGGCGCUGCGCGAGCCGGGCGGCUGCGGAUCCUGCCUGGGGGUGGCGCUGGCCCUGCUGCUGCUGCUGCUGCCCGCCUGCUGCCCCGUGCGGGCGCAGAACGACACGGAGCCCAUCGUGCUGGAGGGCAAGUGCUUGGUGGUGUGCGACUCCAGCCCGUCGGCGGACGGCGCCGUCACCUCCUCCCUGGGCAUCUCCGUGCGCUCCGGCAGCGCCAAGGUGGCCUUCUCCGCCACGCGGAGCACCAACCACGAGCCGUCCGAGAUGAGCAACCGCACCAUGACCAUCUAUUUCGACCAGGUAUUAGUAAAUAUUGGCAACCACUUUGAUCUUGCCUCCAGUAUAUUUGUAGCACCGAGAAAAGGGAUUUAUAGCUUCAGCUUCCACGUGGUCAAAGUGUACAACAGACAAACCAUCCAGGUCAGUUUAAUGCAGAAUGGCUACCCAGUGAUCUCGGCCUUUGCAGGAGACCAGGAUGUCACCAGAGAAGCUGCUAGCAAUGGCGUGCUGCUGCUCAUGGAAAGGGAAGACAAAGUGCAUCUCAAACUUGAGAGAGGCAACCUCAUGGGGGGUUGGAAAUACUCCACAUUCUCGGGCUUCUUGGUGUUUCCUCUAUAAACACAGAGCACCCUAGAUGGUGGGGGAAUGGCAAUCUGGACCCAGGAAUCCGCCCUUUAAAACACCCUGAACUUGCUGGAAUUGGGACACCUUGUUUCCAACCUCCAUCAGCCUGUUGCUGUAGAAGAAUGAUUUCCUCUGAAACCUCCAGUACUUUUGUUUUUGUUUUUUGGAAUAUUGACAAUUCCUCGGGAACCUGGCCUCUAUUUAGUUUUAGAUGACAAGGUCUUAAGGAGAAAUGAAAUUAUCGAUUUGAGCAAUUUGUACCUGUGAUUGUAAAGUCAAUAUCGGAUUUUAUUGUUGGGACCAUGGACCUCUUUUGUUUGUAUGUUAUAUUGUUGUCCCAAUGGAAGGAGAGCUCCUGAUUCCAGGAUGGACUGCAGGUUGCAGUCAGGGCUUGAAGCAGGAGCCCAACAAAGAACCACCUGAUGGACAGUCCUUGACAUGUGUUCUGUGUGCGUCUGUAUAGCCUUAAGAAAAAGAAUGGCUUCACUUUCAUUCUGUAUUCUUCCCCCCACCGUGUGGAUGGGAGGACUUGGGAGGGGGAUGGGGACAUUGUGAACCUGUCAAGAAGUGCUUUAUCCAGAGAAGCAAGUUUUGCACGAUUGGACUGCAGCUUUUGUUUUGUAUUGUUUGUGUUUUUUCUUGAAUAGCUUUACUUUUCUUUCCACACUCAGCUCUCCCUCCUCAACCCCACUUUUAUUUUUCUUGCUGGGAUUGGGGAGAGAAAAUAUAUGUUGAAUUCCUGGAUAAGACCAAACAAAACAAAACAUUAAAAUACCUGUAUGUUUUGUUUUAGACGAGACCAAACCAAACAAAAAGAAUCUGUUUAUCGAAGUAAAAAUAACACAAUGUACAAUUCGGCUUAUUCUCUCAAAGAGAUUCUAAGAUGCACCUUUAGAACUAUUAAUAGCAACCUGGAUUUUUUUAAAAUUUAUACUUCAGAAUGCUUUAAGAACCUGGUGUUCCUGGGUGGUCCUGAAUCGUAUAAGUUGGGAAUGGAAGCUGUAAUGACCAAGUCCCCUAAACAUACUGCUUCUUUGCCACGUGUGCUGUGACUUCUCAGCGGGUGUUUUAAUUUAUUUGGAUCCACCUCUGAGUGAGCGCACAGUGAUCAGGUGCUUCGAAGCCAACAGACCAGCUCCUCUUCCUCCAGAUCCUCUUUUGAUCUGCCCAGGAAAGGGAUGCAUUGCCACUCUCCUGCAUGCACCUGGCGAGAAGCCACCUGGAAGUCACUGUGGUUAAAGAUAUUGGUGGAGGUACCCCAGGAGCACUGUUACAAAUCCUUCUUGUUUUGACACCUCUUACAACAACAUUAUUAAGACACAGCUGAGAGUUGAUGGGUGUGUAAUUCAUAUGCCAAGGAAAUGUCACUGAUCCCAAAGCAAUCAAAGAGGAGACCUCAAACCAGAUGUUAAUUUGUUCUUUGUGUAACAAUGUAACCAAAAUAUUGAUGAUGAAAGUCAUAAUUUAAGAUUCAGAAUAAAUGGGUUUGAUGUCUGG